UGCAUCGAUGAAAAACGCAGCGAACUGCGAUAAGUAAUGUGAAUUGCAGAAUUCAGUGAAUCAUCGAGUCUUUGAACGCACAUUGCGCCCCCUGGCAUUCCGGGGGGCAUGCCUGUCCGAGCGUCAUU
rnacentral:rRNA from 1 species